UACGAAGGGAGCUAGCGUUGUUCGGAAUUACUGGGCGUAAAGGGCGCGCAGGCUGAUUUACAAGUCAGGGGUGAAAUCCCGAGGCUCAACCUCGGAACUGCCUUUGAUACUGUAAGUCUAGAGUCCGUGAGAGGAUGGCGGAACACCCAGUGUAGAGGUGAAAUUCGUAGAUAUUGGGUGGAACACCAGUGGCGAAGGCGGCCAUCUGGCACGGUACUGACGCUGAGGCGCGAAAGCGUGGGGAGCAAACAGGAUUAGAUACCCUGGUAGUCCACGCCGUAAACGAUGUGCGCUAGCCGUCGGGGGCUUGUCCCUCGGGGGCGAAGCUAACGCAUUAAGCGCACCGCCUGGGGAGUACGGUCGCAAGAUUA
rnacentral:rRNA from 1 species